UACGUAGGUGGCGAGCGUUGUCCGGAAUUACUGGGUGUAAAGGGCGGGUAGGCGGGAAUGUAAGUCAGAUGUGAAAUGCCGGGGCUCAACACCGGAACUGCAUCUGAAACUAAGUUUCUUGAGUGCUGGAGAGGAAAGCGGAAUUCCUAGUGUAGUGGUGAAAUGCGUAGAUAUUAGGAGGAGCACCAGUGGCGAAGGCGGCUUUCUGGACAGUAACUGACGCUGAGGCGCGAAAGCGUGUUGGGCAAACAGG
rnacentral:rRNA from 1 species